CCAUACCAGCCGGGGAAUUAGCGGAGCCCUGUACCUGAAAUCCGCUACAGCAGGGGUUCAUUCCUUUUUUGAGGAUCGAGCUUUUGUGUAUGAGCCGUGCCUGCUGCGUUGAAGAGCGGGUCUUGCGCAAUUGGGGGUUGUGAACCAUGUCAGGUGGGGAACCAAGCAGCAUUAAGCAAUUUUUCCAAUGUGCCGCGGGGUAGCCUGCUCCGAGCAGAAUGUACGGAGUUCGCACAGGGGGGAGGUUCGAUUUUAAGGUGUAUGG
rnacentral:SRP_RNA from 1 species